rnacentral:rRNA from 1 species
GACGAACGCUGGCGGCGUGCUUAACACAUGCAAGUCGAGCGGUAAGGCCCUUUGGGGUACACGAGCGGCGAACGGGUGAGUAACACGUGAGUAAUCUGCCUUUGGCUUGGGAAUAACUUCGGGAAAUCGGGGCUAAUGCCUGAUGUUUACUGUCUGCUGCAUGGUGGGUGGUGGAAAGAUUUUUUGGCCAGGGAGUGAGCUCGCGGUCUAUCAGCUUGUUGGUGGGGUAAG